rnacentral:misc_RNA from 1 species
UCCGGUUUGUCACCGGCAGUCUCCCAUGAGUCUCCAGCUUAAUGCUGGCAACAUGGGACAGGGGUUGCGCUCGUUGCGCCACUUAAGGCAACACCUCACGGCACGAGCUGACGACAGCCAUGCAGCACCUGUGCGGGCCCCCGAAGGGGCACCGUGUUUCCACGGCGUCACCCCGCAUGUCAAGCCCUGGUAAGGUUCUUCGCGUUGCGUCGAAUUGAGCCACAUGCUCCGCCGCUUGUGCGGGUCCCCGUCAAUUCCUUUGAGUUUUAGCCUUGCGGCCGUACUCCCCAGGCGGGGUGCUUAAUGCGUUAGCUUCGGCACGGAGGGAGUCGACACCCCCCACACCUAGCACCCAUCGUUUACGGCGUGGAAUAC